rnacentral:rRNA from 1 species
GACGAACCGUGCGAACGUUGUUCGGAAUCACUGGGCUUAAAGGGCGCGUAGGCGGGGAAGCAAGUCAGGGGUUAAAUCCCACGGCUCAACCGUGGAAGAGCCUGUGAUACUGCUGAUCUAGAGGGAGGUAGGGGCGUGCGGAACUUCCGGUGGAGCGGUGAAAUGCGUAGAUAUCGGAAGGAACACCGGUGGCGAAAGCGGCGCGCUGGACCUCUACUGACGCUGAGGCGCGAAAGCCAGGGGAGCAAACGGG